AGAGUUUGAAAAAUAAAGUGUCUAUACUAUUACUUUAAUUUUUGUUUCUUUUAAUAUGUACAGUGAGACUAGGUCACUGUUUCUAAUUCACCCCAAUUUGCACCUGAUUUUGCACCUACCACAUUGUUGAAAUUCAUCCAUAAAGAGAAUUUGGCUUCACUCCACUUGAAGAAGAAAUUUGAUGUUGAGUCAAUCUUCAAAUUUGAUGUUGAGUCAAUCUUCAUUGACUGCCUAAAGGGUUUGGAGUAUAUUCACUCCAAAAACCUUGUCCAUGGUGAUGUAUCAACCAACAACAUCUUUGUGGACUUAAAUGGGACAGCCAAAUUGGGGGACUUUGGAUGUGUUUCGGAUGAAGGAAUACCUCAUCCUAUUGGAGGUGUAUCUCUUUAUCAUGCCCCGGAAUUGGAAGAUGCAUUUGCUAAAUUGGUAGAUGAAGACACUCCAAUUGAUGAGCAGCUAUGUGUUAUGAAGGCAAGUGACUUAUAUUCACUUGCCUCGGCUAUAAUAGAACUUAUCUAUCCAAUGACCACAAAUUCUGAAAGGGAUCCCUUCUUAAUCGGCAUCAAAAGUACCAAAGUAUUUCAUGAUCAAGGAAAAGUUUCGCAAGAAUGCAUACGUCAACUAGAAGUGAUGUUGAGCGACGAUCCUAAUUGUCGCACUGAUGCCAAAACAAUCGUGAGUGUUUCUUUUUUACUUUUCUAAUGGAUUAAAUAUUUUGAUAUACUUUCAUUCUCUGAACUAACAGAGGAUGAGUCUUGUUUGACAGAGAUAGAUUUUAGUAGCGGAAUGCUGAUGUUUUUGGAACUUGCUGAUUUUGUAAAUCAAUCUUGAUUAGGCUGACAGAUACCAUGAGGGGGCAAGAAAACUAUGAAUAUUGGAACUUGUUGAUGAUAACUCUGAAAAGUUUAUGUUGAUGAUUGCAGUUGCUGAUAACUCUGAAAAGUUUAUGCUGAUGAUUGCACUUACAUAA